rnacentral:rRNA from 1 species
GACAGAGGGUGCAAACGUUGUUCGGAAUUACUGGGCGUAAAGCGCGUGUAGGCUGCUCGGAAAGUCGGAUGUGAAAGCCCUGGGCUCAACCUAGGAAGUGCAUUCGAAACUUCCGAGCUGGAGUGCUGGAGAGGAAGGCGGAAUUCUCGGUGUAGAGGUGAAAUUCGUAGAUAUCGAGAGGAACACCGGUGGCGAAGGCGGCCUUCUGGACAGCAACUGACGCUGAGACGCGAAAGCGUGGGGAGCAAACAGG